AAAGGGAGAGCGGCCCCGCGAUCGGGAGCGAGCGGGCGGGAGGAAGCUGGGGGCGCAGAACUAAGUCGGGAGGGGGCGCGCAGGGCGGCCGGGCGGCGAGUUUGUGCGGGGCGCGCGCGUGUGCAGGGGCGGCGCGGCGGGGGGCGGCGCGGGCUCCCUCCUCCCGGCCCGCGCGCGGCUCGCGCCUCCACGCCAACUCCGGGCCCCAGCCGCGGGCGGGCGGGCGCACGGCGGGCGCACGGCGGGCGGACAGCAUGCUGAGCCUCCUCGUCUGGAUCCUCACUCUCUCCGACACUUUCUCCCAAGGUACCCAGACCCGCUUCAGCCAGGAACCAGCAGACCAGACUGUGGUGGCAGGACAGCGGGCUGUACUCCCCUGUGUGCUCCUCAACUACUCUGGGAUUGUUCAAUGGACCAAGGAUGGGCUGGCCCUGGGUAUGGGCCAGGGCCUCAAAGCCUGGCCGCGGUACCGGGUGGUGGGCUCUGCAGACGCCGGGCAGUACAACCUGGAGAUCACUGAUGCAGAACUCUCUGAUGAUGCUUCCUACGAGUGCCAGGCCACUGAGGCUGCCCUGCGCUCCCGACGAGCCAAACUCACCGUGCUCAUCCCUCCAGAGGACACCAGGAUUGAUGGGGGACCCGUGAUUCUGCUGCAGGCAGGCACACCCCACAACCUCACCUGCCGCGCCUUCAACGCCAAGCCUGCCGCCACCAUCAUCUGGUUCCGAGACGGGACACAGCAGGAAGGCGCUGUGGCCAGCACGGAGUUGCUAAAGGAUGGGAAGAGAGAGACCACAGUUAGCCAGCUGCUCAUUAACCCCACGGACCUGGACAUUGGCCGCGUCUUCACGUGCCGCAGCAUGAAUGAGGCCAUCCCCAGCGGCAAGGAGACAUCUAUAGAGCUCGACGUGCAUCACCGUCCUACAGUAACCCUGUCCAUUGAGCCCCAGACGGUGCAGGAGGGAGAACGAGUCGUCUUUACGUGCCAGGCCACAGCCAACCCCGAGAUCCUAGGCUAUAGGUGGGCCAAAGGAGGUUUCCUGAUAGAAGAUGCCCAUGAGAGCCGCUAUGAGACAAAUGUGGACUAUUCCUUCUUCACGGAGCCUGUGUCUUGUGAGGUCCACAACAAAGUGGGGAGCACCAAUGUUAGCACUUUAGUCAAUGUCCAUUUUGCCCCCAGGAUUGUAGUUGAUCCCAAGCCCACAACCACAGACAUUGGCUCUGAUGUGACCCUCACCUGUGUCUGGGUUGGGAACCCCCCACUCACCCUCACAUGGACCAAGAAGGACUCCAACAUGGGGCCCAGGCCUCCUGGCUCCCCACCCGAGGCUGCUCUCUCUGCCCAGGUCCUGAGUAACAGCAACCAGCUGCUGCUGAAGUCAGUGACCCAAGCAGAUGCAGGCACCUACACCUGCCGGGCCAUCGUGCCUCGGAUUGGAGUGGCUGAGCGGGAGGUGCCGCUUUAUGUGAAUGGGCCUCCCAUUAUCUCCAGCGAGGCAGUGCAGUACGCUGUCAGGGGCGACGGUGGCAAGGUGGAAUGCUUCAUUGGGAGCACGCCACCCCCGGAUCGCAUUGCCUGGGCGUGGAAGGAGAAUUUCCUGGAGGUGGGGACCUUGGAGCGCUAUACGGUGGAGAGGACCAACUCUGGCAGUGGGGUGCUGUCCACGCUUACCAUCAAUAACGUCAUGGAGGCAGACUUCCAGACCCACUACAACUGCACUGCCUGGAACAGCUUUGGUCCCGGCACAGCCAUCAUCCAGCUGGAGGAAAGAGAGGUGUUACCCGUGGGCAUCAUCGCUGGGGCCACCAUCGGCGCAGGCAUCCUGCUCAUCUUCUUCUUCAUCGCCCUGGUGUUCUUCCUCUACCGGCGCCGAAAAGGCAGUCGCAAGGAUGUCACCUUGAGGAAGCUGGACAUCAAGGUGGAGACGGUGAACCGGGAGCCGCUGACCAUGCACUCCGACCGCGAGGACGACACUGCCAGCGUCUCCACGGCAACCCGGGUCAUGAAGGCCAUCUACUCAGUGAGGCCCUUCAAAGAUGAUGUGGAUCUGAAGCAGGACCUGCGCUGUGACACCAUCGACACACGGGAAGAGUAUGAGAUGAAGGACCCCACCAAUGGCUACUACAACGUGCGAGCCCACGAAGACCGCCCGGCCUCCAGGGCAGUGCUCUACGCUGACUACCGUGCCGCGGGUCCCACCCGCUUCGACGGUCGCCCCUCGUCCAGGCUCUCUCACUCCAGUGGCUAUGCCCAGCUCAAUACUUACAGCCGGGCGCCCGCCUCGGACUAUGUCCCUGAGCCCACACCCUCCGGCCCUGCCGCCCCAGCUGGCACUGACACAACCAGCCAGCUGUCCUAUGAAAACUAUGAAAAGUUCAACUCCCACCCCUUCCCCGGGCCAACGGGGUACCCCACCUACCGACUGGGCUACCCCCAGGCCCCACCCUCUGGCCUAGAGCGGACCCCAUACGAGGCAUACGACCCCAUCGGCAAGUACGCCACAGCCACUCGAUUCUCCUACACUUCCCAGCACUCGGACUACGGCCAGCGGUUCCAGCAGCGCAUGCAGACUCACGUGUAGGGGCCAGCGUCCGUCGGCUGGGGCAUCUCUGCGGGGCAGAGGAGAAGGCUUUCACAGCUGUUCCCUGAUAUUCAGGGGCGUGGCUCGUUGCUCCCUUCUCGGACCAGCCUUUCCUCCUCCCGCUAUGGCAGGUGGGGAGCAGGUCUCCCAGAACACACACACACACACACACACACACACACACACACACACCCCAUCCCGAGGAUGGUGCUCUGUGCAUGCCCCAGCGUCUUGGGCCUGCCCUUCCCUCUUCUUUGGGAGGAGGUGUCACUUCUGACCUGUGUGUUUGCUUGACCCUGACAUGGGGACAGGGAAAGUGAAGGUGGGGAGAGCAGAGGGGACACUUUUAGCAUUCCCUUUCGACCCCACCCCUCUGGUCUCCCACGCGUAGGCAGAGCCGUGGGGUGCAUGGGCUGGGGGUGGGCUUUGGCUUGAGGACCAUGAAGUAUGAGAGUGGGUGGCUCUGGGACCAACAGUCCCUCUGUGGUCUGUUCUUACAUCCUGGGUGUGUCUCUUCCCUCUUCCGGGGAAUGCGGUUAGCACCUUGGAUUGAGUUCAGUUGUCUUCAGAACCGCCCUGACAGUUGAGUUCACAUCUAGCUCCUAUUCUGCUGAAAUCAAAAUGCCAGCCAUCCUGGCUGCUACCGUGGACAUCAGUCUGUCAUCUUACAGAGGGAUCCAGAAAUGACCCGUGGCACUGCUCUCUUCCCUUUGCCCCUGCUGGGCCAGCCAGUUAAGUUCAGAUGGUGGUAGAGAAAGGAUGGUCAGGAUCUUAACCUUAAAUUGACCAGAGACCACUGUGCCCUACAUGGCACUUCCCAGACCCAAAACUAGGGGGAGCCAUUAAGCCCUCUUUCCCCUUCCCUGCCCCACUUCUUGGCUUUGGGGAGUGGUACUUUGGGGUCAGAGUGCUACAGGCUAUUUUUCAAAGACAACAACAACCAAAACAAUGAAAACCUCAUUUGGAAAGGAAGCUUGCAGGGGUUCCCCCACCCAGAUACAAGUGUCAAUAGAAAGGAAAGGGGCACCUGUUCUCCAUCAGAUUCUUGUCACCCACCAUUCCCUUUCAGUCUCCAAGCACCUUGAGUCCAUAUUUAUACAUCAGGGUAGUAAGGCCUGUCACACACACAGGCAGGCUCUGAUGGCUCCUACACUGCUGUCCUACCCUAGGCCCUACCAGCUGGUCGGAGAUCAUUUUCCAGGAAACUUGGGAGAUGCUCUCUCCAAGUUUUAGUUUAGUUUUGUUGUUUUCUUGGACCAAUCAGAUUCCUCUCACUGUUAGUGCCUUGAGUGUCGAGCUUUGGGUGACUGUCCCUGUGUGCGUGGCUGUAUACAGAGCAGGUACUCAUGAGUCUCAGGCAGGCUAUCUAGUGACCAUGUCAAGAGAGAGGUGAGAGGGGCAUAGGGCCUGGAAAUGGCGCCGAAGGAGAGCUUAUGCUGAUCCAAAGGAGACAAUAGUGUGGAAGGGCACUGCAGGCAUUCCAUGGCACAUGCUUUCUCAUUCUCUACCCAGUACGUACAUGUCCCCGUCCGUUAUUCCAUGCCACCACUUCUCAACUGCCACCUUCUGACCAAAGAGAAUAGGCACUCCAAAGAAUCUGUACCUCUGCCCGGGCCUCUCCAAGAAGCCACAUCUGGAAUUGGCUGUUCUUCACCUGCCUGUUGCAGCCAGCCUGAUGGUAGUACACCCUCCCCUCCCCCUCCACAGUCUCCCCCCUCCCCAUACAAUUCCCAGAAUGCUCCUUGCCCUUUCUCGGUGGUCACCAUCCAUUAGUCAUGUUCGCUUUAAUGAGUUACAUGCUCGUCAGCCACGGGCCAUCACCACCCUUACAGAUGGGCCUGUGGGGUGACAUUCCCAGCCAUCCCCUUGCUGGUAAAGACUAGAUAACAACCAGGAAGGCAAGUAGCUUCGGUUCAGACUUGGCAGACAGCCUCUGUGACCUCCUGUACUUGAGACUUGGGGCAGUUUCUACAGCGUGGUCCCUACCCAGGACAUUUACAAGCUUCUGGCAGUAUUCUAUCCCUGCAGGCUCCCACUUCCCCACAGAGGCCUUUUCCUGAUAGUUGUGAGGAGAUCUGUUAAGAAUGUAGGUGCCAGUGCAGAUAAAUUCAGACAAAUAUGUAUUUUCGUAGACACCAGAAGCCAUGGGUAAUCCAAACACUUUAAAUAUAAUGGCUUUUUAGACCGGAUUUUUUUUUUUAAGUCAUUUCUGUUUUGAGUUUGGCCACGUUCUCCUUCCCCCUUGUUUUGUUUCAGUCGUGGGUCCCCUUGUGUUGACAUGGUGGGAACACAGGUCAUGAGGUAACUAAUUUGGCACUGCAGAGAGAUGGUUGAGGAAGGAGCCCUGAUCCAGACAGAGCUUGGCCACUGCACUCCGCUUCCCAUUGCAGUAACGAGGCCCCAUAGCACCGGCAAAAAUCAGACUCCGUGUGAUCAGAACCAAAGUUGGGGACCCGUCUAUUAGGACCUCUGGAGAGUUGGAGGUGCCCUUGAUCACAGGCCUUUCUGUGCUGAGGCAGUGUUUCAGCUUGGUGAUGACGCCUCGGCACACGGUCAUCCCGAUCGCCCGUGAUGUUAUCGUUUUAGUGGGAAGAACAAAGGGCUUAGGGUCAGGAGAUUGGGGACCCUGUUCUGCAGCUGCCAUUUGCUGAGUGACCUUGGUCUAGCCUCUUCACAUUCACUGCCUCCAAUUUUCUGCCCUGUGGAAUGCAGAGAAAAGGUCACACAAACCUAAAGCUAUUGUUUUAUUUUUACUGUGUUCAUUUGGAGAGGAAUGGCCAGGGAGUGGGGAGGUUCUGCUCCACUGUAAGAAGUCUUCCCUUUGACCUUCUGGGUUUUUGUCAGCCACCUCCCUGAUCCUAAGUCAGGCUGUGUGGUUGUCUAUUGGAUUCUGACAGGUCCACAAAGGUGUUUCUGGCCACGACAGGACAUGAUGAAUUUGCCAUGUGCCUAGAUAACUUCUGUGUGGGAAUUGAGAGCAGCCGUUCUUCCACUGGGUCCCACAGGGGGUCACAGGGUCACAGGGUCACCUGCCCUGGGGACAGCUCCCCUUCUUAGCAAGCCAGGCUAUGCCUACAGGCAAGGUGACUUGAGUUGGAGCUCAGGAGCAAGUACAGCAGAUCUCUUCAUCAAGAAGAUUGGAAAGGGCUGUGGUGGAGGGAAGAGGGGCCACGGCAGUUUUAAUGUAAACCCUGGAUCCCAAAGAUUUUUAUGGCUUUGGGUGACUUCAUGGUCUGUUAGAGGAGGGUCCAGCCUGCAUGCUCAGUCCCAGAUCUCCCAGUCAUGAAGUGAAACCCGUUGUGAGAAUGGGGGAGGCAAGGAUGGAGCAGGGCUAGGCUGACACAAAUGAGGAAGUGUUAGCUCAUCUAGGCUUCUCUGGACAAUGGGCUGACUUUAUCCAGCAGUUGCUGCUUUCGUGAAGGGCCAUCUUCCUGCCCUGUGGAUGGAGCACAUGCCCUGGUACCCUGGUGUUAACUUGGGAGCCAUGCAUGCCAACAGACCCUUUAUAAUGGAAUUGAAUGGCCUCCCUGUACCCUUGACCCUCAAACAUAGCAAGGUAGGCCAUUAGGGUUUAAAGAAACCAUGGUAAAACCAAUACCCCAUUCAGCUCAGUCACUGCCUCGCUGUGUGGACAUCUCUGUUCCUACAGCAGAAUUUCAGGACCUCUGAAGACCACUCUAGGCUCGAAGACUUUGGCCUCUUCCCAUUUCAUUCUUUGUGAUUUGAGUCCAGACACUGUCCUGAGCCUGUACGGGUUGUUUUGCAUGUUGAGGGAGUUGCCUGAAUUAGUGAAGCUCCUGGCUCUGAUGAGCCCCAAAAGGGGCAUGCAAAGGCACACAGACCAAGAGAUGUCCUUGGAGAGGCAUUUAUUUUGUGAAGAGGCUAUAAAAUUAGCAUCUAAAUAUCCCAUUCCCUUCUCCCUCUACCUUCCCCCUACUCCUGUGGUCUUUCUCCUCUCCUCAAGGCCCUACGGUUUCUGGCUCGCAUGUGACAGCUUGGAUCUGAAGUUCCACCUCUAGUUUGGUGGGGAGAGGACAUACAGACUGCCCCAGAGAUUUUGGUUUCUGGGGUUGGGGGUGGGAUAAGGGAAGAACCCCAUUAUAUCACUGUGAGGGAGCUCCAGGCCCUGUCCCUGGAGAAAUAAUUGCUGCGCAGAAGUCACAGGCCAUACUGGGCAGUUUUGGUACAAGCCUGCCCUUAAAGAGAUAACUAUAAUGUGCAUAGAACUAUCAUUCCUACCAGUCUUGUUUCUGUGCCCCCCUCCCACCAAUUUUUGAUUGUUUGGGAGCCUUUACCACCAGCCUAUGAGAGUUUGAUGACCAGGACUCCUGUUGGCUUCUGGAGUUCUUUAGAUACAGCCUUUGGGACCACCUGAACUCUGGGGAGAGCUGAUUUUGCCAUCACAAACUCCUGACUCAAAUGUCUUUAGCAAUAGUAACCCAGAUUUUGCUGCCUCUUAUUUCAUCAGGAAGAGGCCCCGGGGUUCCUUGUCACUUUUUUCUGUCCCCGGCUAUUCUUGGGAUUACAACCUUUAUUUCUGGCUCCAGUUCAAUUUUCUGUAAUUCCAAAUUCCGGUAAUAAAUGAAUCCAUGAUGAUAAUUAAGAGAAAACAAAUUAUAUAUAUAAUAUUAUUUUUGUUAGGACAAACCAUCGUAGAUUUUUAGCAAUGUGUAUCUAUGUCCUUCACACUUUUUCCUAUUCUGCCUUUUUUUCCUUUUUUUUAAAUAUUAUGUACUAUAUUUUUAGUCUCAAACACGCUAUAUAUUAUAUAUAUUUAAUUUUAUAUAUAUAAAUAUAAAUGUUUUAAAAAGUGCAAUGUU